rnacentral:lncRNA from 1 species
AGAUGCCUGCCCGAACGUCAAGCUCAGCCAUGAGUGUCAAUCUUGUGAUGCCAGACGAUAGAGCAUAGCUGGUGGGGCUUGCCUCUCUAUGAAGCAGCUGUGUCAUGUCUCCAUUCAAUACACAGAAGGUAGGCAGUGAUAAAUAUCAUGGUAGCAAACAGAUACCCAAGGCCAGGUAUGAUAUAUGGAUGCAUCUACUUUGGCCUGAAGGACAUUUGGAAUUUGGGUUUCAGGCCUUUCUUUGAUGAGUCAGAUUAGGCAAUGCUGUGUCCUCAUUUUUGUGUGGCAGCUAUCAGCUCAGUUGCCAGGGAUGGCCUCCGUGGUUCAUCCUUGCUUUCCCACCAGUCUGGCCAGAAUUGCUCCUCUCCAUUGGUCACAGCAGGCAUCUGGGUGUGCCAACCCUGGCAAGAGGUCUGGGUGAGAGGGAGGCAGGAUUGUAAACACGUUUCCUAAAGCCCCUCUGCCCCAUGACCUCUUCCAUGGUGGGACGUCUGCUAAGAACACUAGAACCAUGUCCUAGCUUUCUUUUUUAUUCUAUCCAUCCAUCCAUCCACCUCUAUCCAUCCAUCCAUCCACCCACCCAUCUAUUCUGUCCAUCCAUCCAUCCAUCCAUCCUAACAGGUCUAGUGAGGCCUUCCUAAACCCUGUUUCCUUAUUUCCAGUGGCUGCUUUCCUCUGGUCCUCUUCCUCUGCUGCAUCACACCACCCCUCAACAAACAUCCCUUCCUUCCCCGUGCUUCCACGUAAACUUUUCUCCCUCUCUUCUCUGUCCCAGGUGUCUUCAGAGCUUCUGACAUUAACGGUUGCAAGGAAGGAGAAGACCUAGGGUUCAAUUCUUUGCCAUGAAUCGAAUAUGGCCCUCACGCCUGUGUCAAACAUGUGAAGGGCACUGAGGGUACCAUGGUGAGAGAAAGCCCCUGCCCCCAGAAAUGCACACAUGGUGGGUGGAGGUGGAGAAUGUCAGAGCCACUUAUGAUGGCCUGGCAUGGCAGGGCUGCAGAGGGGUGCACGCUGGGGAGGCGGGGGCUGGAGUGUGCUCCACAUGGCCUGGCACUGUGGCCCUCUUGACCUCACUUCUUUGUCCUCUCUGCAGCUUCAUCCCUAGGCUACCUCUCUUGGGCUAGUGUUUGCCAAACUUCAGUCACUUGGGAAUCAAUCGUUUUCUGUGUGACUACAUUACUGAAUACUUCCAAAUUUUCUUUAAAAAUUUUUUUUUUUUAGAGACAGGUUGUUGCUUUGUCACCCAGGCUGGGGCCUGAAAAGCCCAGCAGAUCCCUGGUAGCCAGUCCAUGUGAAUAUCCUGAAUGACUUCUAGCAUUGGUCAAUUAUCACAUGCAGAAAGCCUACAGCUUGCAGGCGCCGUUUGUCAGCUGGGGCUGCUAGUGGCUGGGAACUAAUCAUUAAGCCUGCCAAGGAGCAGAGAAGCCUUUCUCCCAGCAGCGUCACGGCCUCCAGCGUGGUGUACAUUUUCCUAUUUCACUUGGAUUUGCUCCUAAUUAUUGAACUAUAGAUUAUUAAUGCCGUGAAACUCUGGGAUCCCAGCGUGACUGCGCUGGGCUCUAUUCUGCCCUCAGAGCCUUCAGCACGUAUCCUGGCCUGGCAGACAGUGCCCCAGCAGCUGUCAGAGCCGCUGGGGCCAAGAGGGUACCGUGGGAUCCAAAGAGUGGCUCCUAUUAGCAGCUGCAGGGGCAUCGUUGGUGGCAUUUGGUGCCCUCUUCUCCCCAAAUUACUAGAUAGAGUGAACAAUAAGUCACAAAACACAACUUAAGGUUUGCGAAGAGGGUGACAAAAAGUAUCUUUAAAAGAGAAGUGAAAAUGGCUGAGGCCAUGCUGGGGCUCUGCCAUCUGUCACUGUGCACAGCUGUCUGGGUGUGUGCUGGGGACACCGCUGAGCAGCACGCACAGAGCCAGGCUGAAGACAUUUGGGGCCUGCAGCAGUGCAAUCCCAGGGCAGAGAGAGGAGCUGUGCAGCCCAGGGACUGUGGAACAGUCCCUCCAGGGGUGAUUCUGAUCUGAAAGCUUCCUGUACAGCA